rnacentral:rRNA from 1 species
AACUGAGACACGGUCCAGACUCCUACGGGAGGCAGCAGUGGGGAAUAUUGCACAAUGGGCGCAAGCCUGAUGCAGCCAUGCCGCGUGUAUGAAGAAGGCCUUCGGGUUGUAAAGUACUUUCAGCGGGGAGGAAGGUGUUGUGGCUAAUAACCGCAGCAAUUGACGUUACCCGCAGAAGAAGCACCGGCUAACUCCGUGCCAGCAGCCGCGGUAAUACGGAGGGUGCAAGCGUUAAUCGGAAUUACUGGGCGUAAAGCGCACGCAGGCGGUCUGUCAAGUCGGAUGUGAAAUCCCCGGGCUCAACCUGGGAACUGCAUUCGAAACUGGCAGGCUAGAGUCUUGUAGAGGGGGGUAGAAUUCCAGGUGUAGCGGUGAAAUGCGUAGAGAUCUGGAGGAAUACCGGUGGCGAAGGCGGCCCCCUGGACAAAGACUGACGCUCAGGUGCGAAAGCGUGGGGA